AGUGGCGAACGGGUGAGUAACACGUGGGCAAUCUGCCCUGCACUCUGGGAUAAGCCCGGGAAACUGGGUCUAAUACCGGAUACGACAUUCCGAGGCAUCUCGGGGUGUGGAAAGUUCCGGCGGUCCAGGAUGAGCCCGCGGCUUAUCAGCUUGUUGGUGGGGUAAUGGCCUACCAAGGCGACGACGGGUAGCCGCCCUGAGAGGGUGCCCGGCCACACUGGGACUGAGACACGGCCCAGACUCCUACGGGAGGCAGCAGUGGGGAAUAUUGCACAAUGGGCGAAAGCCUGAUGCAGCGACGCCGCGUGAGGGAUGACGGCCUUCGGGUUGUAAACCUCUUUCAGCAGGGAAGAAGCGAAAGUGACGGUACCUGCAGAAGAAGCACCGGCUAACUACGUGCCAGCAGCCGCGGUAAUACGUAGGGUGCGAGCGUUGUCCGGAAUUAUUGGGCGUAAAGAGCUCGUAGGCGGUUUGUCGCGUCGAUUGUGAAAGCCCGGGGCUUAACCCUGGGUCUGCAGUCGAUACGGGCAGGCUAGAGUUCGGCAGGGGAGACUGGAAUUCCUGGUGUAGCGGUGAAAUGCGCAGAUAUCAGGAGGAACACCGGUGGCGAAGGCGGGUCUCUGGGCCGAUACUGACGCUGAGGAGCGAAAGCGUGGGGAGCGAACAGGAUUAGAUACCCUGGUAGUCCACGCCGUAAACGGUGGGCACUAGGUGUGGGCAACAUUCCACGUUGUCCGUGCCGCAGCUAACGCAUUAAGUGUCCCGGUUGGGGAGACGCGACUUGG
rnacentral:rRNA from 1 species